GUUGUCCGCGCGCAAUGAAAGGCCCACAGGUCCACCGCGCUCUGUAGGGCGGGUAGGAGCGGAGGGAAGCCGCACAGCCGCCGCGUAUCUGAAUUUGAAACCCGGGCGGGCUCGGGCCAGACGGCGGCCUGCGCCCGGGGCGCGCGGAGGAGCCGCCGGAGACCCAGACUCCCUCCCGGGGCUCGCCCGCGGCCCCGCGCCGGCUUCCAGAACGUCCACGGGAUGCGCCGUGCUUACCCUCGGUGUCUUCCAGGGACCGAGGCGGCCCGGCGGGGACCGGUCGUGAGUGAUGCGGUGGGCCGGGCCGCGGAGCGCUCAGAGCGACCUCCCAGAACGCCGCGGCCCGGCGCCCGAGAGCCUGAGCUUCCGGGGACGCGGGGCUGCUCUACGCGAGGUCCCCGUGGGCUUCUCUGCCCGCGACCGUUGACCCGAGAGCCUACGAGCCGAGCAAGGCUGCAGCCGGUGGCCGGAAGGGGCAACAGUUGGGGAUGGGGAGGACAGUUGGGCCGCGAAGGCGGCGCCCCCUUUUCGAGCUCGCAGUAAAAUUCGUGCGAGCGCUUGAGAGCCUCACGCCGCAGCCCGAACGCCAAAUCCGGCCCAGCGUCUGUGAGGGCGUUGGCUACUUAUUAGGGUCAAAGAUUGGAGCGCUGGCGCUUUGAUCACACUCUAGAGUAGCAGACAGGCCUCAGAUGAAAGAGGAGCAUGUUAGGGCACAAAAAGUUAAGGUGCAGAGAGGAACAAAAAGACCCCCAAAAAUGUGCUUCCGAAUUUUGAGUAGCCAUUUCCUAUUCCUUGGACCAAACAUCAAGCCGACCAGUUUUCUCAUUUUCUCUAAUUGCUUGUUUAAAAUUUUGAAGCCCUUUGCCAGGGUCUGUAUAGCCUUUCAGCCAGACAGCCUUGUUUUCUGAGGGGGUUGCAUGAAUUUUAAGUGAGCCCAGGAAAUAGACAGCCAGCCAGACAAGAAGGUUAGAAAACCCUUCCAUCGCAAACGUUUGCCUGACACACUGGGCUCCGUUAAAACCACUCCAAAGUGGGUCACUCCAGCACAUCUUCUGGGCUUGGUGCCCUGUUUGAUGGGAAAAAGUGUUCUCAGCCUUAACCCCAAGAUCCUGUGACAACUAACAAGGGAACUCCAGAGAAGUUUCCAGAUUCAAGCAACGCUAGUGAUUUCUGGCAAAAUACUGCCGAUGCCAGUUUCUCAAAUUUUGGUCCACGAACCACCUACAGCAGAUUCCUGGGGGAAUCCUUGUUGUAGGUUCCGGAUUUAGGGCCUACACUAUAGAUGACGAGUUAGAUUACGAGCGAUGAGCCCAGAAAUCUGCAUUUUUAACAAGCUUGCCUUGUGAAGUGUCUGCUCACUAUAAUUUGAGAAUUACUAGACUUGGCUCUUUGUUUGACAUUGCUGAAAUGGUGCUUGUUUUUCUAUCUGGAGCCCUCUCUCAAAAUUCUCAACGGUAAUUAAACAUUCUUUUUUUCUGUUUUUUUUUUCCAAGUGUAGACUAUAAAGUUUGACUUCC
rnacentral:lncRNA from 1 species